CAGCAGCCACGGGAAUACGUAGGGUGCAAGCGCUAAUCGGAAUUACUGGGCGUAAAGCGUGCGCAGGCGGUUCGUUAAGACAGAUGUGAAAUCCCCGGGCUUAACCUGGGAACUGCAUUUGUGACUGGCGGGCUAGAGUAUGGCAGAGGGGGGUAGAAUUCCACGUGUAGCAGUGAAAUGCGUAGAGAUGUGGAGGAAUACCAAUGGCGAAGGCAGCCCCCUGGGCCAAUACUGACGCUCAUGCACGAAAGCGUGGGGAGCAAACAGGAUUAGAGACCCCUGUAGUCCCUGUCUCUUAUAA
rnacentral:rRNA from 1 species